UGGUCAGAGUGGUGGUUUGUCUUCUUACAUAAACCCUCUCCACAUUUCUCUCUUCUUUUUCUGUCCUUUUUUUGGGCUUAAUGAAACAGAGAUCCUGAUUGUCAGCUAAGCAUCUACCUAGUUAAAUUUAGUGACAUGGAUCAGUAGGCUGACCACAGGGAGAUCACUAAUUGCAGAGCUGAAAAUUAUCUUUAAGGACAUUUAAUCCACCCUAUACCUUUAUGAGAAUCUUAUCUGUGAAAGCUCCCACAAGUGGUCAUCCAGCCUUGGCUUGAAGACCUCUAGAGGGGAAAGGAAACCCACUACUUCGCAAAGGCAGUUCACUUCACCUUGAGAUAGUUCCAAUUGUUUCAAAACAAACCCAAUCCUUUGUUCCACAUGACAGCCUUUCAAAUACUUGAAAACAGCCACCAUUUCUUCCCUAAGUUGUCUCUUCCAUAAGAAAAUCCAAAAGGUUCUCAAAUUACAGCAUGCAGAAUUUUGGUAUGACGUAAGGAAUAACCAGUGUUGUCUACUGAAGAAGAGUCAAGAAGCCCUGGAGUCGUCAUGCAUAUAUUAUCUAUGUAGCCAUAGACCAAUCACUUAUAUUAUCUAACAUAUAUUAGCUAUGUGACCAUACAUCAAUCACUUAGACUAUAAUGAUAGUGAUCAUUAUAUUAUAAAGAGAGAGUUCAACUCUUGAAUGAGUAACUAUCUAGAGAUGUAGAAUUUCUUCCUAAAAUCUUUCUGGGUAUUUAGG